ACAUCUUUUGAAAAGGGAACGCCUGAAGUCAUUUCUCAGUCCUUGAAACGCUGAGUCAAUUCAUUUCUGAGACAGAUCAAUGCCCAUCAACAUUGCUGCUCCAGCGCCCAGUCAUUCUUGGUGAUAAAGGGGAAGAGAGGACACACAUGGCUGGCUGCCCAUCUAGAGAGAGUAUGCAGUGCAAUUGCUGCCACCACCAGCUGUGUGGUCUUGACAAGAGCCUUCAUCUGCGUUUGGAUUUCCUCCAAGGUGGUGGAGACCUCAGUCCUCCAGAGGCCACCUGGUUACGCAUGCUUCUGCUGCUGCCACCGCUAGAUCUUUGACCAUGGAAGGAGCACGCGCCUUUCUGAAGCGUACUGUCACAUGUCUCCUUCAAAUCUCCGUGGAUCUUUUCCUCAGCCUCCUGUCUUUCAGCAGGGCAGGUGCCUCCCACAAGGAAACCAGAUGCCAGGACCGUGGGGGACUCUUGAGCGGCACCAGCCAAGCUGUGGGAGCUGAAAAGAGGAAGCUUUGCUCAGAGUAAGCGCCAUGGGAUAAUGUCUUUAAUGUCAAGAGGAUGCACACUGUGAAUGUGGAAAGCCAUCCAGGCUGAAAGAGGGAGUCACACAGGCGGGGAGCGUCGCCAGGCGUUUGUGAGCACUCUCUUGGGUGGGCAGACAGCCGGCUUGCUCAUGAUUCUGCCUUGUCUGUUAUUGGCCACAAGCCGCCAGUGAAAUUUUGUGUCCUUAGGGCUUUGAGGCCUCUACUCAUUGGGGGUCCCAGAAUAAGCUCAAGAAGUUUUUGCCUAGUUCCCCCUGGGCUCCAAAUCAGUGGUACAAAUUUCUCAGUCUGACUUAAUGCUUAGGGAAAUGUCCUAUUUUUGGACGCUUCAUUUUAAAAAAGCAUAUAUAUUUACCAGUGCUAUCUCCACUAAUUCCGAAUAAACCUUAGACUUCAGG
rnacentral:lncRNA from 1 species